UAGCCUACGGGGGGCAGCAGUGGGGGAUAUUGGACAAUGGGGGAAACCCUGAUCCAGCGACGCCGCGUGAGUGAAGAAGUAUUUCGGUAUGUAAAGCUCUGUCAGCAGGGAAGAAAGAAAUGACGGUACCUGACCAAGAAGCCCCGGCUAACUACGUGCCAGCAGCCGCGGUAAUAUGUAGGGGGCAAGCGUUAUCCGGAUUUACUGGGUGUAAAGGGAGCGUAGACGGCAAUGCAAGCCAGAUGUGAAAGCCCGGGGCUCAACCCCGGGACUGCAUUUGGAACUGUGUAGCUGGAGUGUCGGAG
rnacentral:rRNA from 1 species